rnacentral:rRNA from 1 species
UACGUAGGCAGCGAGCGUUGUUCGGAGUUACUGGGCGUAAAGGGUGUGUAGGCGGUUCUUUAAGUUUGGUGUGAAAUCUCCCGGCUCAACCGGGAGGGUGCGCCGAAAACUGGGGGACUAGAGUGGCGGAGUGGAGAGUAGAAUUCCUGGUGUAGCGGUGAAAUGCGUAGAUAUCAGGAGGAAUACCGGUGGUGUAGACGGCUCUCUGGACCGCAACUGACGCUGAGACACGAAAAGCGUGGGGAGCGAACAGG